CCUACGGGAGGCAGCAGUGAGGAAUAUUGGUCAAUGGACGAGAGUCUGAACCAGCCAAGUAGCGUGAAGGAUGACUGCCCUAUGGGUUGUAAACUUCUUUUAUAAAGGAAUAAAACGAGGCACGUGUGCCUUUUUGCAUGUACUUUAUGAAUAAGGAUCGGCUAACUCCGUGCCAGCAGCCGCGGUAAUACGGAGGAUCCGAGCGUUAUCCGGAUUUAUUGGGUUUAAAGGGAGCGUAGAUGGGUUGUUAAGUCAGUUGUGAAAGUUUGGGGCUCAACCGUAAAAUUGCAAUUGAUACUGGCAGUCGUGAGUACAGUUGAGGUAGGCGGAAUUCGUGGUGUAGCGGUGAAAUGCUUAGAUAUCACGAAGAACCCCGAUUGCGAAGGCAGCUUACUAAACUGUGACUGACAUUGAUGCUCGAAAGUGUGGGUAUCAAACAGGAUUAGAUACCCUUGUAGUC
rnacentral:rRNA from 1 species